rnacentral:rRNA from 1 species
AAUGGAGGAAACUCUGAUGCAGCGAUGCCGCGUGAGUGAAGAAGGCCUUUGGGUUGUAAAGCUCUUUCGUCGGGGAAGAAAAUGACUGUACCCGAAUAAGAAGGUCCGGCUAACUUCGUGCCAGCAGCCGCGGUAAUACGAAGGGACCUAGCGUAGUUCGGAAUUACUGGGCUUAAAGAGUUCGUAGGUGGUUGAAAAAGUUGGUGGUGAAAUCCCAGAGCUUAACUCUGGAACUGCCAUCAAAACUUUUCAGCUAGAGUAUGAUAGAGGAAAGCAGAAUUUCUAGUGUAGAGGUGAAAUUCGUAGAUAUUAGAAAGAAUACCAAUUGCGAAGGCAGCUUUCUGGAUCAUUACUGACACUGAGGAACGAAAGCAUGGGUAGCGUGGAGGAUU